rnacentral:rRNA from 1 species
AUUGAACGCUGGCGGCAUGCCUAACACAUGCAAGUCGAGCGGAUGAAGGGAGCUUUCUCCUGUAUUCAGCGGCGGACGGGUGAGUAAUGCCUAGGAAUCUGCCUUGUAUUGGGGGAUAACGUCCGUAAACGGGCGCUAAUACCGCAUACGUCCUUAGGGAGAAAGGGGGGGAUCUUCGGACCUCACGCUAUCAGAUGAGCCUAGGUCGGAUUAGCUAGUUGGUGGGGUAAAGGCCUACCAAGGCGACGAUCCGUAACUGGUCUGAGAGGAUGAUCAGUCACACUGGAACUGAGACACGGUCCAGACUCCUACGGGAGGCAGCAGUGGGGAAUAUUGGACAAUGGGCGAAAGCCUGAUCCAGCCAUGCCGCGUGUGUGAAGAAGGUCUUCGGAUUGUAAAGCACUUUAAGUUGGGAGGAAGGGCAGUAAGUUAAUACAUUGCUGUUUUGACGUUACCAACAGAAUAAGCACCGGCUAACUUCGUG